rnacentral:rRNA from 1 species
UACGUAGGUGGCAAGCGUUAUCCGGAAUUAUUGGGCGUAAAGCGCGCGCAGGUGGUUCUUUAAGUCUGAUGUGAAAGCCCCCGGCUCAACCGGGGAGGGUCAUUGGAAACUGGGGAACUUGAGUAUAGAAGAGGAAAGUGGAAUUCCACGUGUAGCGGUGAAAUGCGUAGAGAUGUGGAGGAACACCAGUGGCGAAGGCGACUUUCUGGUCUAUAACUGACACUGAGGCGCGAAAGCGUGGGGAGCAAACAGGAUUAGAUACCCUGGUAGUCCACGCCGUAAACGAUGAGUGCUAAGUGUUAGAGGGUUUCCGCCCUUUAGUGCUGCAGCUAACGCAUUAAGCACUCCGCCUGGGGAGUACGGCCGCAAGGCUGAA